AUACCUUUCUCGGCCUUUUGGCUAAGAUCAAGUGUAGUAUCUGUUCUUAUCAGUUUAAUAUCUGAUAUGUAGACUAUAUGUCUAUUUCGAUAUUAAAUUUAUUUUUUGUGGGGUAGAGCUCGCAACAGUAGCUUGCUACUGGAGCUCUCGAGCGUCGCUUAGGUGUUGCACUACCGCCUAGAGCGUCGCUUAGGUG
rnacentral:snRNA from 1 species